AAAAACAUUUCUGUUAAUUAUUAGCAGUACGGCCUGCUCACUGUCACUGAUAAAGAGCUGCAGUAUUUUGACUGUGCAAAGGUAGCAUAAUGGUUUGCCUUUUAAUUGGAGGCUGGAAUGAAAGGUUAGACAAAACUUUAGUUUUUCCAUGUAAAAGUUAAAAGUUAAAAUUCUUGUCAAAAUGCAAGAAUCUUAGUAAGGGACGAUAAGACCCUAUAAACUUUUAUAUUUAGAGCAAAAAAAGGAAUUUAUUUAAAGUAUUUAGUUGGGGCAACAUAAGUAAAAUAAUUUAUAAACAAACUUUUUAAAAGGGGCAAAAAGCCUUAAGAGGCAUUAGAAAAAAGUACUUUAGGGAUAACAGCGUUAUACUUUCGGAGAGACCAUAUCUAUGGGAGUGUUUGCGACCUCGAUGUUGAAUUAAAAAACGGUUUAAAGCAGCCUUUAAGCCUUUAGGUCUGUUCGACCUUUAAAUUUUUACAUGAUCUG
rnacentral:rRNA from 1 species